GCCAGGGCUCUGACUGUGGACCUCUCCUUCCUCUCUGCAGCUCCACAGUGCAUCCCCUUCACGUGGCUGAUGCUGGCUGGCCUGCGCAGUGUGGUGGGCCAGGUGAGGAGCGGCCGGACCCUGCGCCUCGCUUGUGCUGUUGUGAAACAAUGGUCAGAAGGAGUCCGGGUUCACUUCUGCUCUGGAAAGCAAUGCCCCCGGCCUGCUGUGCA